rnacentral:pre_miRNA from 1 species
GGUGCAGUUUUCGGUCAUGGAGUGUCCGUCGUCUCCAUGGCCAUCUCUUAAUGAGAUGCUCAAAAUAAGAGAUGGCCAUGGAGACGACGGACACUCCAUGACCGAAAACUGCAC